rnacentral:rRNA from 1 species
CCGCGUGCGGGAUGAAGGCCUUCGGGUUGUAAACCGCUUUUGAUCGGGAGCAAGCCCUUCGGGGUGAGUGUACCCUUCGAAUAAGCACCGGCUAACUACGUGCCAGCAGCCGCGGUAAUACGUAGGGUGCAAGCGUUAUCCGGAAUUAUUGGGCGUAAAGGGCUCGUAGGCGGUUCGUCGCGUCCGGUGUGAAAGCCCAUCGCUUAACGGUGGGUCUGCGCCGGGUACGGGCGGGCUGGAGUGCGGUAGGGGAGACUGGAAUUCCCGGUGUAACGGUGGAAUGUGUAGAUAUCGGGAAGAACACCAAUGGCGAAGGCAGGUCUCUGGGCCGUCACUGACGCUGAGGAGCGAAAGCGUGGGGAGCGAACAGGAUUAGAUACCCUGGUAGUCCACGCCGUAAACGGUGGAUGCUGGAUGUGGGGCCCGUUCCACGGGUUCCGUGUCGGAGCUAACGCGUUAAGCAUCCCGCCUGGGGAGUACGGCCGCAAGGCUAAAACUCAAAGAAAUUGACGGGGGCCCGCACAAGCGGCGGAGCAUGCGGAUUAAUUCGAUGCAACGCGAAGAACCUUACCUGGGCUUGACAUGU